CAGAGGACAAGAUGAGUUGAAUCAACCAACAAGAUCUCAUGUUUGGAGUUCUUCCCCUAUUGAGAAGUCUUCAGAUGACAACAGUUGGAAAGAAAAUAGAGCACAAGCUUGAUUUCUAUUGACCGACCAGAGCUCCUGGAUGGGGUUCUUCGAGUAGAUUCAUUACACUCAAUAGCAGAAGAGAUGUAGAUUCAUUACACUUAAUUCAGGAUGUUGUUUAAAUUACUUGUCCUAACAAGUGCACAAGUUGGGAUGGAUUGGACUUCUAUCUUGAGAAAAUGCCAUGAUUUCAGAAAGACAAAUAGCAUCAAUGGCCAUAGAUUGUAACCUAGAUUUAAACAAGGUUCGAGGUGCCGUCAACAAUACUAACAGAAUCCUCCAGGUCAAAUUGUUGAUUGGACCUGAUUUUAUUUAAAUGAUCUUGAUAAUCCAUUUUAUUUAAAUGAGUAGACUUAGAUGUGCGUCGGAGCUAUCCGGAUGUUGAGCGGGGGUCCCUGAAAGGUGGGAACCGCUGUUAUGACCAUGAUGAAGCUGUACAUUUUAUAUGGACAACAUUGGAGGGGCCUGGCCAUUUGGACAGGCUGUGUUUAUGUGUUUGCUCGAAAUUAAUGGAGCAGACCCGGAUGUGUGUCGGAGCUAUCCGGAUGAGCGGGAGUCCCUGGAAGGUGAGAACCGCCGUUAUGACCAUGAUGAAGCUGUUCAUUUCCUAUGGACAGCAUUG